rnacentral:rRNA from 1 species
UACGGAGGGUGCAAGCGUUAUCCGGAUUUACUGGGUUUAAAGGGUGCGUAGGUGGGUCUGUAAGUCAGUGGUGAAAUCUCCGAGCUUAACUCGGAAACUGCCAUUGAUACUAUAGGUCUUGAAUUAUCUGGAGGUAAGCGGAAUAUGUCAUGUAGCGGUGAAAUGCUUAGAUAUGACAUAGAACACCAAUUGCGAAGGCAGCUGGCUACACAAAUAUUGACGCUGAGGCACGAAAGCGUGGGGAUCAAACAGG